CCUACGGGAGGCAGCAGUGAGGAAUAUUGGUCAAUGGGCGCAGGCCUGAACCAGCCAAGUCGCGUGAGGGAAGACUGCCCUAUGGGUUGUAAACCUCUUUUAUAAGGGAAGAAUAAUGACUACGUGUAGUCUGAUGCCCGUACCUUAUGAAUAAGCAUCGGUUAACUCCGUGCCAGCAGCCGCGGUAAUCCGGAGGAUGCGAGCGUUAUCCGGAUUUAUUGGGUUUAAAGGGUGCGUAGGGGGUAUUUUAAGUUAGUGGUAAAACGUCGGGGCUUCACCUUGAUUGGCCAUUAAAACUGGAGUACUAGAGUACAGACGAGGUAGGCGGAAUAAGUUAAGUAGCGGUGAAAUGCUUAGAUAUAACUUAGAACCCCGAUAGCGAAGGCAGCUUACCGGACUGUUACUGACGCUGAGGCACGAGAGCGUGGGUAGCGAACAGGAUUAGAUACCCUUGUAGUC
rnacentral:rRNA from 1 species